rnacentral:lncRNA from 1 species
UGGAUCUAAGAGCCACAACUCAUCAUAGGUGAGAGAUGAAGAUGGCCUAACUCUUCUUAUAAUGUUCCUUCGUUGGUUGGUCUUUCUGCUUCUUUUCCUCCCAUUAAAUCUUCCUCUGUUCAUCCUUCCCCCUUUCUUAGCAUUCUCUGCUGCUUCUAAGUCAGAAAUGGCCCUCCCACACCUGUUUUCAUUUGUGUCCUCCUUCAGGGCACCUGGCCUCAAUUCCAGGCAGGUGGUGAGGGCAGGGAGCCAGGCUGUCUUGGGAUGUCUCCAGCACCCCUGACAGGUGUCUUCACUGGCAGUCUGUGCUAGGCAUGGCCUUAUACUCUGAAGCAACUAAUGAUGGCCUGGUUUCAGAUUCGGUCUGCAUCUAUAGGCAGCAGAUCUUGUUCAUGAGAAGCAACAGCCAGAUACACACAUGCUGUUUUCACCUGGCCAUUGCAUUCACCAGACAGCUCAGUGCUUCAGUUCUCUCAACUCAACAAGUAUUUAUGAGGAAUCUGAAGAGCACUACUGGAGGUUUUACACAUGGGUAAGCUCAGCAAGUUGUGUGGCUCCUAGCAGUGCCAACCUAUGCAGAAAGAAACAGGAGUAGAGCACCGAACAAGUAUAGCACCACUUCCAGGCAGGAGGUAGAUGGUGUAGACACUCAUAUUAUCUGUGAUUGUCUCCAGGAUAGAAACUCAUUCAGCAAUUACCCAUCUCUAUGAAACAGCAAACGGAGUGGUUGUUAGGUCAACAGUUACAUUGUAAAGAUGUUGGGAAGAAUAUUUUGAGGUCAAUAGCUGGGGGAAAAGUACUUCACAAUGCACAUUCAAGAGAGGAAAUCAAGUUGCAGCUGUUACACUGUAACACUUACCGUAACUAAUGCUGUGGAAGUAGGAUCUGAGACCAUACAUACACAUCUACAGUUACUUCUUCAACGUUUGGUUUUGGGAGCAAAGAGUAUAAGUGAAGAUACCUCACAAAACUUAAAAUAUCAGUUGUGUCAGAAACCAUCAUUACUUCUGGACUCCUGAGAAAGGCAAGUGAGCCCAUCCUUAUUGAAGCCCUGUGGGCCAUAAUGGGCAGUGAAAUUAGAGGAGAGUCCAUUAAGUUUCCCUUGCUGUGGAAGUUUAGGUGGUGGUCCACUUCUUAAAGACUGAAUAAAAUGUAGCCCCUCUGUGCCAAGGCAAUUUGUGACAUGUAUGUGAAUUAUAUUUUUCGGAAGUACCUCUGAGAUGGUCGCAAGGUGUUGGCAUGCAAGUGAGCUUCACAGGUAGCAAAGCUGUUCAAACAAAGGAGGAGCAUUUCCUUGCUAACAAGACCAACAAGCAGGAGCUCAGGUAUAAACUAGGUACAAAAUGGAUGGACAGUGUUUGGAUAGACAAUGAAAUGGUUUAUGAGCAGAAAACUAGGGAAGGGUAAUUUCAGACUGUUAAAGCAGUCGUGGCACCAGCCCUCCGGGGCUUGUUAGUGCAUGUAGGUGCAAGUCUCAGAACAGCUGCAAGAAGGGCCAGGGCAGCUGCAGAAAACAACAGGAUCAGAGUGUCGGGUGGCCUGGUGUCAGCUAUUGCAAUUCGCCUGCUUUUUCUCACAGAAACCUCACCGAUGAGGCAUAACACAAAUGAAAUGUAUUUGUAUGGAAGUGAGAGCUGGACCAUAAAGAAGGCUGAUCGCCGAAGAAUGGAUGCUUUUGAAUUAUGGUGCUGGAGGAGACUCUUGAGAGUCCCAUGGACUGCAAGAAGAUCAAACGUAUCCAUUCUGAAGGAAAUCAGCCCUGAGUGUUCACUGGAAGGACAGAUCGUGAAGCUGAGGCUCCAAGACUUUGGCCACCUCAUGAGAAGAGAAGACUCCCUGGAAAAGACCCUGAUGUUGGGAAAGAUGGAGGGCACAAGGAGAAGGGGACGACAGAGGACGAGAUGGUUGGACAGUGUUCUCGAAGCUACCAGCAUGAGUUUGACCAAACUGCGGGAGGCAGUGGAAGACAGAAGUGCCUGGCGUGCUCUGGUCCAUGGGGUCACGAAGAGUCGGACACGACUAAACGACUAAACAACAAAUUGUAUUUUGUGAUAUUUGUGAUUUGAUGGAAAAUGUACACCAGUACAUGUAUC